UGGGGAAUAUUGGGCAAUGGGCGCAAGCCUGACCCAGCAACGCCGCGUGAAGGAAGAAGGUUUUCGGAUUGUAAACUUCUGUCCUAAGUGACGAAGGAAGUGACGGUAGCUUAGGAGGAAGCCCCGGCUAACUACGUGCCAGCAGCCGCGGUAAUACGUAGGGGGCGAGCGUUGUCCGGAAUGACUGGGCGUAAAGGGCGUGUAGGCGGCUGAUUAAGUCUGAAGUGAAAGUCCUGUUUUCAAGAUGGGAAUUGCUUUGGAUACUGUAGGGCUUGAGUGCAGGAGAGGUUAUCGGAAUUCCCGGUGUAGCGGUGAAAUGCGUAGAGAUCGGGAGGAACACCAGUGGCGAAGGCGGGUAACUGGACUGCAACUGACGCUGAGGCGCGAAAGUGUGGGGAGCAAACAGGAUUAGAUACCCUGGUAU
rnacentral:rRNA from 1 species